CAAGUCUUCAUAUCGCUUUUCGUUUCUUUUUGAUGAGUGCACAGACGCCACCACUACCAUCACCAUCAUUAUCAUCAUUCCGCCAUCUCCUGUCCUCGCUCCUCUUUCCUCAGGUGCGCGCGCACAUCAUCAUCUUGUACAGACACGCGCUUGUGUGCCGUGGUACCACGGGGCGCCAAGCCCCGCUGCUAUAUCAUUCUUACACCGGUACACACGGACAUACGUGCAGCGACUGAGUACGCAUUCUCAUCACCACCUUCUACAUUGCGAGGAGGGGAGGGCGGGAAGGCAGCGAUGAACUCAUCAUACUUCCGCCUUGAACGUUCACUUUAAUCGGCGUGAUUCCGUUCCAAUGUGGCGCGUAUAUUGUUUUGCGCCGUACGCUGUACACGGCUGCUUUUACCUGCACUGACGUGGCCGUCCACGUGCUGCUGAACGCCUUCCCGCGUUGGCUGUGGAUUGUGUGUGUGUGUGUGUGUGUGCGGUGGCCACUUCUGGCUCUCUCGGCGCCAGCCUCUUCACGUACGACCCAAGCGAAGAGCGGCGAGUGCGAAUUCUCGGCCCGACUGGAAGCAGCGCAUUGCCACCGCGCGCCUGCAUGCGGGGCCGCUUAGGGGUCACAGAGGCUCAGCUGUCAAACCCUGUGCUGCAUCGCGACAGAGCCUCAAGGCCGCGGUACAACGGUCCGCUGUGCAAUGGCCACGUGCACACUAUCCGUGGCGCGUUUCGGCCGCCCAUCGAUCUUCGCGCGCCGGAGCGCGAGACUGCGCCGUCCUACGACGGCAACCCCACUUGCCUUGACUGGUGGCUGCCGACAGACGCGGAGGCAGCUGACGCGACGGCAGACGGUGAUGCUGCCGCCAUGCGCGUCCGCGCGCUGGUCAUCAUUCUGCCGGGGCUAACGGGGAGCUUGAAAGAGUUCUACGUGCGCCGCAUGGCACGGCGGCUGCUGAGGGCAAACAUGGCCACGUGUGUGCUGAACGCGCGCGGCAUGGCGGACACUCCCCUAGAGAGGUCGCAAAUCUUCAGCGCGCUCUUCACCAAGGACCUGCCCCACAUCAUGCAAGCACACAUGACACGUGAAAAGGUGCAGGAGCGUCUGCUGCGCCGCAUACCAUCGCUGCAGAGCAGCGGCCAUCAUAAAGGCGCCGCGCCGAUCAUCGGCGUCGCCUUCUCGCUUGGUGGGCUGAUCUUGACCAACUACGUAAGUGAGUAGGGCGAGGCAGAGGCGCCAAGCGGUUUCGACGCUGUCUACACUAUCACCUCUUCACACAACGUGAGCGACGGUGCGGCGGCGCUGCGGAUGCCGCUGACCAAGCUCCUCUACGACUCCGCCUUGCAUAAGGGACUUCGCGCCUACUACGAGCGACACAAAAACGUACUGCAGAACGUGCCCGGCAUUGGCAAGAAACUCUUGAUGGGCGGCGACGCACCGCGCAGGACUUUGACGAGCUCAUCACGGGACCGCACUUUGGCUUCCCUGGUGCAGAGGCGUACUACGCCGCCACCAGCAACUUCCGCCGCCUUCGCCACUCCCGCACGCCGCAGGUCUGCGCCGUAGCGGCCAACGUCCCCCAACUGUGGCCCUCCACAACCCGAGCUGCGCUGGCUGCAGAAGCGAAGAAGAACGCGUGAGAGUCGAUUUCGGAACAACAACGAGACAUAUUUGUGCAUAUAUAUAUAUAUAUGUGCGUGCGCGCAGGAUGGUCUCUAGCGAAGGUCUUGGUGGGCUGCUGCGAUGAUGGUGCUCUGGCUAGAUCAUGACGGGAGGAAUGAGGCGGGAGGAUGGAGAGGGCAUAGUUGUAGGGAGUGCAUGGCGCCGACGAUAGAGAGGUGGAGCUUGGGCGCUGCAUACGCAAGGUAGACGUGUGCGUCGACGCUUGCGUCAAGCAUUCUGCGACCUUUGCGUACCCGUGUGAUUCUUUUUUUCUUGUGUGCUCCCUCGCUUUCUCACAGGGAUGCGCGCACCAUUACCGCCUUCUCCUUUUCACUGCGCCUCUCUCUCUGUCUGUGUAUGCGUGUGUCUCGGUCUCCCUCUCAAGCGUUGCCAACCUCACUUUUUCUUUGCCCGUGACUGGCAUAUCUACCUUUUCCUUGAUGGUGUGCUGGUGCCGGUGAUAACAUCUUGUGCUUAGCUCCACCGUCCGUAGCUCUAGCUCUACCUCUACCUCUCUCUCUCUGCGUGUCUGGCUUUGUGCGUGUGAGGGCUGUGAUGGCAUCCGUUGGUCGCCGUGCGUGGGGGGGGUGAUGGUGCGGUUGAUCGCGGAGGUGCAGCGCAACGCGAUAUGCGACCUCGAAUGACUCAUCAGCCCAGGCGCUACUCGCGUCACACGUCCAGGCAUAUCUCACAAAAAUGUACGCGGCUCACCGGCGUCACUUGCAUGCGCAUCCUUCGUCCGCCUCUCCGCUGCAUCCUGCGUUUUACGCCCGUUCCUGUGGCACGGCUUCCUUGAAAGUUUUUUUUUCCGAUAUGCGCCUCUCGCUGGCUUUUGUGCCAGCGGCGUUCUCCACUACCGCCGUCUCCGACGGUACUUGCAUCCGGAUGCGAAGGGGCGAUGCGCUGACCUUUUUUUUUGUUGUUCAGGAGUGUUGUUGUCCCUGAUGACAGUAGGGAGGGGGCACAACACCCCUCAACGCGCGGCAUCUCACAGUCCAUUGCACCCUCAAUGUGUUUGUGAGGAGGCCAGGUACAACCACACUCCUAUCCCUGCCAACACCGACCGACCUCUCGUGGUGACAGGUUCAGGCUCUGGAUGGCGCUGCGUCGGAGAGACCUGCGACCGUGCACAUGGUUUUACUGUCUAUAUGAUGAGCAGUGUGCCCGUGCGACUCGAGCGUGUCCCACCGGGAAUGAUGGGGGAGCUGCUGCGGGGCGAGUGGUGGGCCGUGCUCGAGGCGGGGGCUGUACUCGGAUGACUAAGUCGGCGCCUUGCUGUGACGCGCGUGCCGAGGGCUGCUUCGCGCGACGCGAUGGGGGGGGCGUGUGGCGGGCCAGGAGGGGGGAGGAGGGGGCGUUUGCGUUCGUGUUGAAUGGCAGAGAGACGGAGACGCUCGGACGCAAAGCGUUGCUGCGGCCGUGAAGGCGUGGGUGCCGACAUCAUCACCAGCAGACAUGGUGCGCAUACCCUGCUUGCCAGCUACGGUGGUGGCUCUCCUGAAAGUACGUCAGAUGGCCCUCUCAUGCAGAGGCCCUGUGAAGACCUGCCAUGGGGCUCUUCCAUUGCGUGUGCGCGUCUCAUUGACCCCCGCCGUAUCUCCCUAUCUCCUUGCCGUGCGCAUCCAUAUGCGCGUGCUGCUGCUGCUGCUGCUGUUCAUCGUAGCCCCAAGAAUCGCAUCACCCGCACAUCAUAUCUGCCUUCCCUCCACCCCCCUGAGCACCCCUCUCGUUGUUCUCAACAUGCGACCAACGAGUGGAACCGCCUCACGGCACACGCAUGUGCGCGGCCGAGAAAACCCUGCACUGCGACGAAAGAGGAAGGGCGGUCCGCGUUCCUCCCUCCAGAGGUGCCAGAGACGUAACGCGGGAGAUAGUGUGAAUGAGUGAGUGAGAGGGGCUCGAGGUCUUGCCAAGACGGGGCGCUGCGGAUGUCCUCCGUGGCGGAACAUCGGCAACGGCAUCUUCGUACGGAAGAAAAAAAACGCGCUUGUCGAGUCGCUGUUCCAACACGCCUCUUCCCUACCCCAUCAGGUAGACAUCGGCGAUGCGUCUGCCCGGUUACCGCCACUCUUUCCCCCUCCCCUCGUUCUCUCUCUUGGUCUCUACCUCACCCUUUCUGCUACCGCUAUGCUUCCACUCGCGAGCAG
rnacentral:misc_RNA from 1 species